rnacentral:rRNA from 15 species
GACUCUCGGCAACGGAUAUCUCGGCUCACGCAUCGAUGAAGAACGUAGCAAAAUGCGAUACUUGGUGUGAAUUGCAGAAUCCCGUGAACCAUCGAGUUUUUGAACGCAAGUUGCGCCCGAAGCCAUCCGGUUGAGGGCACGCCUGCCUGGGCGUCACGCAUCGC